UCCCUAAAGAGAACCUGAAGACACUGAGGCUGAUCAAGGACAGCGUUAGGAGGGGCAGGCUGCGUGAGGAGCAGCUGAGACUGGAGAAGGAGAAGUGCAAGCAAAGAUUAAUGGAUAGAAAGAAACAAACUGGAAGACAGCUCAGGCCCAGGUGCUUCCCUGUUCAGAAGAAGAUCCCAGUAAGUGAGGAGGACAACAUACCUGCUGAGAAAGAACUCCAUGCCUUCCUCUUCACCGAGAACGACGGUUAAAAAAUAAAUGCCACGAAAAGCCAAACAUGUAGAAAUAUGUGUGUCCAAAAGGAAUGGUACUGAAAUAUUGCCACAAACUACUUUUUUAUUUGCACUA